rnacentral:rRNA from 1 species
AAAAACAUGUCUUUUUGGUUAUUUAAUAUAAAGUCUAACCUGCCCACUGAAUUUUAUUUUGAAGGGCCGCAGUAUUUUGACUGUGCAAAGGUAGCAUAAUCAUUAGUCUUUUAAUUGAAGGCUGGUAUGAAUGGUUGGAUGAGGUACAAGCUGUGUCAUAAAAAUUAUUAAUUGAAUUUAACUUUUUAGUCAAAAGGCUAAAAUAAAAUUAAAAGACGAGAAGACCCUAUAGAGCUUUAUAUAGUGAUUAUUUAAUUUAUUAAGAUUUAUUAAAUUUAAUUAUUUUAUUAUAUUUUGUUGGGGUGACAAUAAAAUUUAUAAAACUUUUAUUAUUAAUUCACAUUUAUUUAUGAUUUUAUGAUCCAGUUUUAUUGAUUAUAAAUUUAAGUUACCUUAGGGAUAACAGCGUAAUUUUUUUUGAGAGUUCAUAUCGACAAAAAAGAUUGCGACCUCGAUGUUGGAUUAAGAGUAAUUUUGGGUGUAGAAGUUCGAAGUUUAAGUCUGUUCGACUUUUAAAUUCUUACAUGAUCUGAGUUCAAACCGGA